rnacentral:lncRNA from 1 species
UAAUCCAACAGCAUCUCCUGCAUGCGUGUCUGCUGUACCUUGCUUCAAAGGGGGAACGAGGGAAACCAUCCUUUCUGCCUGGCCCUGUUGUGGAGCACUGCUUGUGCUUGGAGCUGCUUGCAGGGAUGCUCCUCGAUGUGUGGUUUGUGCUCCAGGUGCUUCCAAGAGUGGAAUUGAGGGACUACUGCUAAAGAAAACUCAGGCCUGGGGAGCACGUCGGUCUGCUCGUCUCAGCUGUGUCUUCACGUGAAGGCAGCCAAUGCGCACUAAGCGUGCUGAUGAAAUGUGCAGGAGCUGAGGCUCUGCUGCCCUGCCUCCCUGGCAGCCACCCCCAGCAGCAGCAGGAUGCUCCGAGGCAGCAGUGGAUGGCGUUUGAAGCUGUGGCUGGGCUUCCGCUCGUGGGCAGGCACGUGCUGCUGAAGGACAGGGUCUGCUCUCUUCUUCCAGUGCUGUUACGCUUGUUAGGUAUGCACGCAGGAGCUGUGGUCUGGUGGAUGCCCG